rnacentral:rRNA from 1 species
AUUGAACGCUGGCGGCAGGCCUAACACAUGCAAGUCGAACGAGCGGCGGACGGGUGAGUAAUGUCUGGGAAACUGCCUGAUGGAGGGGGAUAACUACUGGAAACGGUAGCUAAUACCGCAUACCAUCGGAUGUGCCCAGAUGGGAUUAGCUAGUAGGUGGGGUAACGGCUCACCUAGGCGACGAUCCCUAGCUGGUCUGAGAGGAUGACCAGCCACACUGGAACUGAGACACGGUCCAGACUCCUACGGGAGGCAGCAGUGGGGAAUAUUGGGCAAUGGGCGAAAGCCUGAUGCAGCCAAGCCGCGUGUAUGAAGAAGGCCUUCGGGUUGUAAAGUACUGUCAGCGGGGAGGCGUUACCCGCAGAAGAAGCACCGGCUAACUCCGUGCCAGCAGCCGCGGUAAUAC